AUUGAACGCUGGCGGCAUGCCUUACACAUGCAAGUCGAACGGUAACAGGUCUUCGGAUGCUGACGAGUGGCGAACGGGUGAGUAAUACAUCGGAACGUGCCCAGACGUGGGGGAUAACGAGGCGAAAGCUUUGCUAAUACCGCAUACGAUCUAAGGAUGAAAGCAGGGGGACCGCAAGGCCUUGCGCGUUUGGAGCGGCCGAUGGCAGAUUAGGUAGUUGGUGGGAUAAAAGCUUACCAAGCCGACGAUCUGUAGCUGGUCUGAGAGGACGACCAGCCACACUGGGACUGAGACACGGCCCAGACUCCUACGGGAGGCAGCAGUGGGGAAUUUUGGACAAUGGGCGCAAGCCUGAUCCAGCCAUGCCGCGUGAGUGAAGAAGGCC
rnacentral:rRNA from 1 species